UGGUCUAUGGUGUAAUGGUAACACGGCAGAUUCUGGCUCUGCAAUUCAAGGUUCGAGUCCUUGUAGACCAA
rnacentral:tRNA from 1 species